AGCGAACGCUGGCGGCAGGCCUAACACAUGCAAGUCGAACGAACCCUUCGGGGUUAGUGGCGGACGGGUGAGUAACACGUGGGAACGUGCCUUUAGGUUCGGAAUAACUCAGGGAAACUUGUGCUAAUACAGAAUGUGCCCUUCGGGGGAAAGAUUUAUCGCCUGUAGAGCGGCCCGCGUCUGAUUAGCUAGUUGGUGAGGGAAUGGCUCACCAAGGCUACGAUCAGUAGCUGGUCUGAGAGGAUGACCAGCCACAUUGGGACUGAGACACGGCCCAAACUCCUACGGGAGGCAGCAGUGGGGAAUCUUGCGCAAUGGGCGAAAGCCUGACGCAGCCAUGCCGCGUGGAUGAUGAAGGUCUUAGGAUUGUAAAAUCCUUUCACCGGUGAAGAUAAUGACUGUAGCCGGAGAAGAAGCCCCGGCUAACUUCGUGCCAGCCGCCGCAGUAACAC
rnacentral:rRNA from 1 species